AACGAGCUGGCGGCAGGCCUAACACAUGCAAGUCGAGCGAGCAUUUCGGUGCUAGCGGCGGACGGGUUAGUAACGCGUGGGAACGUGCCCUUUGCUACGGAAUAGUCCUGGGAAACUGGGGGUAAUACCGUAUGUGCCCUUCGGGGGAAAGAUUUAUCGGCAAAGGAUCGGCCCGCGUUGGAUUAGGUAGUUGGUGGGGUAAUGGCCUACCAAGCCGACGAUCCAUAGCUGGUUUGAGAGGAUGAUCAGCAACACUGGGACUGAGACACGGCCCAGACUCCUACGGGAGGCAGCAGUGGGGAAUCUUAGACAAUGGGCGCAAGCCUGAUCUAGCCAUGCCGCGUGGACGAUGAAGGCCUUAGGGUUGUAAAGUCCUUUCAGCUGGGAAGAUAAUGACGGUACCAGCAGAAGAAGCCCCGGCUAACUCCGUG
rnacentral:rRNA from 1 species